GUUUAAUGUUUUGUGGAGUGCAACCUGCAAAUUUCAUGAAGAAAUUAGUUAGACAUGUAUGUAUACCCAACACUUAAAAGAAAAAGAAAUCUGAAAGUGCAGAGUUACAUAAUGUGACUAACAAAUAUAUUAAUGGACUUUUGGGCUGUAACUGUAUUUGGGUAAAAAGUUCAACCUAUAUUGAAAAUCUACAAACUGCACAUAGAAGUAUCUGCCAUUUUUACCAAGUACCCACAUUGACACACAGGUAGUAACCUUGGGACUCAAGCACUUCAAAGAAAAUUUCCAAAUUUGAGAUUGCUUCGACAUAUUUACAGAAUAAAACUUUAAAUAGAAAUACUUACAGAUGAUGUCUUCAGCAGCUCU
rnacentral:misc_RNA from 1 species